AGGUCAGUGACCAGUUCAAAGUCAGCUGGAGGCUUAUGGUGCGUUCCAGAGCCCAUCCAAACCAGUGGGACGUGGGACUUAUCCUACCUCCAACUAAGAAAAGUGCACUGGAAUGCCUGUCGAAGUGGACCAUCCCACCGUCGAAGUGGAACCUCCUACUAUUGAACUGGGGGGUGAUCGACCUACCCCCACUUCACCAAGUAGGAGCUAGUACAGUUCAGGAAGGAUAAAUCCCACAUCCCAUUGCUUUGGAUGGGCUCUGGAAUGCACCAUUAGUGGUGUCCUGACCAGUUCAAAGUCAGCUGGAAGCUUAAUGGUGUCAUGACCAGUUCAAUCCAGCUGGUACUUAGUGGGGUCCUGACCAGUUCAAUUCAGCUGGUACUUAAUGGGGUCCUGAACAGUGGUCUCUCCCCAGGCGUUGGGGGAAACCUGGUGGCCAUCCAGGCCAGCAGGAUCGCCGCAUACCUCCACCCCUGCAGCGCUCCGGGGACCCUGCCCCCCGACAUGGCCAGCAACAGGCCUGACCCCUGCACCAACUUCUGCUCUGAAGGGUGAACUCCAGGUCGGGCAGGUUCCUGCUGUUUCUGGUGGGGCCGGGUCACCUGCUGUUCCUCUACACCACCCGUCUCUUCCAAGGGGGCCACGCCACCCUCACCCCUGCCUUCACCCUCUGGUCCCUGGGGGCCCCACUCCUCCAGGUCAGACCUUCACCCUCGGGUCCCUGGGGGCCCCGCUCCUCCAGGUCAGACCUUCACCCUCGGGUCCCUGGGGGCCCCCCUCCUCCAGGUCAGACCUUCACCCUCGGGUCCCUGGGGGCCCCCCUCCUCCAGGUCAGACCUUCACCCUCUGGUCCCUGGGGGCCCCCUCCUCCAGGUCAGACCUUCACCCUCGGGUCCCUGGGGGCCCCCUCCUCUAGGUCAGACCUUCACCCUCUGGUCCCUGGGGGCCCCCUACUCUAGGUCAGCCCAAAGCUGCGUUCGGGAUUCGUCCCAAGCUAGUACAAAAGGGCCCAACUUUGUCAGAAGAUGAACCGUGAUCCUCCAUGUGCGGAAUUUGAGCUGAAUCAUAUCAGAACCCAGAUCUCUUUCAACAUAAGCACGACUAUACACACUGCAAAGUAAAAACCAAACUGUUAAAAUUAUGAUUUUAUAUAAUGCCUACUACCUUCUACAAUAUAUUAGACUCUAGCUAACUUGCCAGUUUGACCUUGGAUUGGCGAUCUUAAGAGGCCCUCAUUAAUCAACAUGAAUCCUAAGCAGCAGCGAUCACAAUAGCAGCAGCAGGAGCCUGUAGUCAGUGAGAGGGAUCGGACAGCUAAGUAUGGGGUGCAUUCCAUUUCACCCACUGGCAGAGGCCUAUAACUACCCCGCAGGACACAGACGUUAUGCACAGCACUAUGUAUUUUUCUUCAAGCUCAUUUUCUUUAAAUACAUCUUCAGCGGCACUCCAAAUUAGAGGGAUGGCCCCGUGGUAUGACUAUCUUUAGCUCUUGUGAGUUAGAACAGACGUUUACUUUGAAAGAGGAUGAUUUGUGCAUUGGCUGACGUAGCUAUGUGUUGGAGGUUCUUCCAAUGACCCAGGUGGUGCUGCUGCUCUACAGGGCCGACCUGAUGGUGCGCUGGAUGUGGAGCCGCAGGGUGGUCCCUGAUUCCUCCUCCAUCCCCUACCUGACCACCCUGGGGUAGGCCUGCACGAUUGGGGGAAAUUAAUCACGAUAUUUUUAGCUUAGGUAUCAGGAUUUGAUGUUGCGAUUUUUUUCUCACAAAAUGUAAUUUUUAUUGCAAACAUGAACCACAAACAAAAAAAAAAAAUAGGAGUACCAAAAAUAGUUUUUUGCCACCUCUAGCACGUUGCGUUUCAUAUGGCCCUUUAUUUUAUUGAUUAAAGUGCAGCAUCAAAAACGGAAUGAUUUAUUUUGUACAUAUAGCAGCAGAUUGUCUUUAAUUGCUGGCCUUUUAUAACUACUGAACCAACUCUACACACCUGUAAAUUAAGGCUUA